GACGUAGGGUGCAGGCGUUGUCCGGAUUUAUUGGGCGUAAAGAGCUCGUAGGCGGCUUGUUGCGUCGACUGUGAAAACCCGCGGCUUAACCGCGGGCUUGCAGUUGAUACGGGCAGGCUAGAGUUCGGUAGGGGAGACUGGAAUUCCUGGUGUAGCGGUGAAAUGCGCAGAUAUCAGGAGGAACACCGGUGGCGAAGGCGGGUCUCUGGGCCGAUACUGACGCUGAGGAGCGAAAGCGUGGGGAGCGAACAGG
rnacentral:rRNA from 1 species